AGUGAAUGAGAUAACUUUGUUCUGUUGCAUGCGUUUACAGGUGCUGUAUAUGGUCAUUAUAUUUAUUUUGUGUGUAUCUUUAGUUCUUUUUUUUUUUUUUUGGUUUAGCUAACCUGAGAGUGGGACAGAAGUCCCUUCCACUAAAGUGAGUUGGUUAGCGCCAGGCUAACCAACUAGGCUUUAGAUCAGUUUAGUGAGAUCAGAGGCUCAUGCUUCAACUUGGAACUUGGGAUUUGGAGUUCUGAAACCCCUGUGUCCUGAGCUCAGGAUGUCAACAGGGAGCCUGCCAGGACCCUAGAAGCUCGUACUUGACAUACGCCAAUGCUGAUGACAACAACAAAGCUGUCUUUGCGUUAAAAGGUGGUAAGAAAUUAUACACACCCAGAAAUGUUUCAAACUUUAGUCCCCAGUUUGGCCUGUAUGAGUCCAGUUCAAUCAGUCUGUUCCCAUUUAAACGUCCCACUGAUUUGCCUACCAAAUGUUUUAGCCAUUAUCUCAUCCAGCCCAGCCAAAAUGAUCCCCUGUUGACACAAAGUAAUGAAUAACCUACUACCACAGAGUCACAGGAGGACUGGAGGUCAGACAGAGCGUCAUAAAGCCGGAGGGGUUUCAGCUUUAAAUACAUUACAUCAUGUUGGGAAAGGAUUUACAAAUUAGAUAUAGUCUGUCAACUGUAGCUUUCAUCAUCUCAAAAGGUGGGCGCAUUCUUGUCCUGAUUGAUCCAAACGCACCUUAAUGAGCCGAAAAUGUGACUGCGCGGCCUUGGAGUUUUACAGAUGAAUUUCAGUGAAUGUGGUGUUUGUGGAAAUUCCAAACAACCAUCGCUCUGCAGCUGUGGUGGGGUCCCGCCAAGAAAGGAUGCAGAGGAGCCAAGGUGAGGAGGUUCGGUCUCUAUUUCAGGUUCUGAGCACCACAAUUGCUCCACGCAGGGCCACACAGCGCAUGGCACCUCAGUCUCACUCCUUCUUUCACUUCCUGUGAUGCUGCUGUUUGAAGAGCGAGCCCCUCCCAUUGGGCGUGGCUCUUAAUUA
rnacentral:lncRNA from 1 species